UGCCAGACUCCUACGGGAGGCAGCAGUGAGGAAUAUUGGUCAAUGGGCGCAAGCCUGAACCAGCCAAGUCGCGUGAGGGAAGACGGCCCUACGGGCUGUAAACCUCUUUUGCCGGGGAGCAAGCCUGAGCACGUGUGCCCAGGCGGAGAGUACCCGGAGAAAAAGCAUCGGCUAACUCCGUGCCAGCAGCCGCGGUAAUACGGAGGAUGCGAGCGUUAUCCGGAUUUAUUGGGUUUAAAGGGUGCGUAGGUGGUUAAUUAAGUCAGCGGUGAAAGUUUGUGGCUCAACCAUAAAAUUGCCGUUGAAACUGGUUGACUUGAGUAUAUUUGAGGUAGGCGGAAUGCGUGGUGUAGCGGUGAAAUGCAUAGAUAUCACGCAGAACUCCGAUUGCGAAGGCAGCUUACUAAACUAUAACUGACACUGAAGCACGAAAGCGUGGGGAUCAAACAGGAUUAGAUACCCCAGUA
rnacentral:rRNA from 1 species